UACCCUGGUAGUCCAUGCCGUAAACGGUGGGCGCUAGGUGUAGGGGGCUUCCACGUCUUCUGUGCCGUAGCUAACGCAUUAAGCGCCCCGCCUGGGGAGUACGGCCGCAAGGCUAAAACUCAAAGGAAUUGACGGGGGCCCGCACAAGCGGCGGAGCAUGUGGAUUAAUUCGAUGCAACGCGAAGAACCUUACCUGGGCUUGACAUACACCAGAUCGCUGCAGAGAUGUAGUUUCCCUUGUGGUUGGUGUACAGGUGGUGCAUGGUUGUCGUCAGCUCGUGUCGUGAGAUGUUGGGUUAAGUCCCGCAACGAGCGCAACCCUUGUCUUAUGUUGCCAGCAUUUGGUUGGGGACUCAUGAGAGACUGCCGGGGUUAACUCGGAGGAAGGUGGGGAUGACGUCAAAUCAUCAUGCCCCUUAUGUCCAGGGCUUCACACAUGCUACAAUGGUCGGUACAACGCGCAGCGACACUGUGAGGUGGAGCGAAUCGCUGAAAGCCGGUCUUAGUUCGGAUUGGGGUCUGCAACUCGACCCCAUGAAGUCGGAGUCGCUAGUAAUCGUAGAUCAGCAAUGCUGCGGUGAAUACGUUCCCGGGCCUUGUACACACCGCCCGUCACGUCAUGAAAGUUGGUAACACCCGAAGCCAGUGGCUCAAACUUGUUAGGGAGCUGUCUAAGGUGGGAUCGGCGAUUGGGACGAAGUCGUAACAAGGU
rnacentral:rRNA from 1 species